UUAGGAUAGGAGCAAGUGUCCUCUUUUCAUUACAAUAAUUCUUCCUAAUAAAGAACCAAGCCCCCAUACUGUACAGAAAAAAUAAAGCAAAAUCUGCAAACAGUUUCCUGUUUAUUCUUUCUCCAACUCAUAGCAAAGAAUAACAAAAAAUGGAAAGGGAGUGUCUUUUGUAAGCUUUCUUAAUUUAAAUGAAGUCCGCAAGGCAAAAUUUCACUAUAUAUAUGUAUAUAAUAUUUAUAAUGAGCAGAAUUUCACUGUAUAUUUAAAAAGUCAUCCAAUACUUGAUGGCAUCUACAAGAUGUAAAUUUGCAGAAUUUAUUAGUAUGAUACAAGUGUUACCUUUUUAUCAUGAUCCAAU
rnacentral:lncRNA from 1 species